ACCUGACGGAGCAACGCCGCGUGAGGGAUGAAGGCCUCUGGGCUGUAAACCUCUUUUCUCAAGGAAGAAGAUCUGACGGUACUUGAGGAAUAAGCCACGGCUAAUUCCGUGCCAGCAGCCGCGGUAAUACGGGAGUGGCAAGCGUUAUCCGGAAUUAUUGGGCGUAAAGCGUCCGCAGGCGGCCUUGUAAGUCUGUCGUUAAAGCGUGGAGCUUAACUCCAUUUCAGCGAUGGAAACUACAAGGCUUGAGUGUGGUAGGGGCAGAGGGAAUUCCCGGUGUAGCGGUGAAAUGCGUAGAUAUCGGGAAGAACACCAGUGGCGAAGGCGCUCUGCUGGGCCAUAACUGACGCUCAUGGACGAAAGCCAGGGGAGCGAAAGGGAUUAGAUACCCCUGUAGUCCUGGCCGUAAACGAUGAACACUAGGUGUCGGGGGAAUCGACCCCCUCGGUGUCGUAGCCAACGCGUUAAGUGUUCCGCCUGGGGAGUACGCACGCAAGUGUGAAACUCAAAGGAAUUGACGGGGGCCCGCACAAGCGGUGGAGUAUGUGGUUUAAUUCGAUGCAACGCGAAGAACCUUACCAGGGUUUGACAUCCUGCGAAUCUCUUGGAAACGAGAGAGUGCCUUCGGGAGCGCAGUGACAGGUGGUGCAUGGCUGUCGUCAGCUCGUGUCGUGAGAUGUUGGGUUAAGUCCCGCAACGAGCGCAACCCACGUCGUUAGUUGCCAGCAUUUAGUUGGGCACUCUAGCGAGACCGCCGGUGAUAAACCGGAGGAAGGUGUGGAUGACGUCAAGUCAUCAUGCCCCUUACAUCCUGGGCUACACACGUACUACAAUGCUACGGACAAAGGGCAGCAAACUCGCGAGAGCUAGCAAAUCCCAUAAACCGUGGCUCAGUUCAGAUCGUAGGCUGCAACUCGCCUACGUGAAGGAGGAAUCGCUAGUAAUCGCAGGUCAGCAUACU
rnacentral:rRNA from 1 species